rnacentral:tRNA from 1 species
GCCUGGGUGGCUCAGUCAGUUGAGCAUUCGACUUCUGUCCACAUACGAUCUGAAGGUUCGUGGGUUCAAGUCCUGCUUCAGGCU